GAAUUGUAAGAAGGGAAGGCUCCAGUUUCCCCUACAGAGUGUUGAGGAAGAGUCAGGUUUUGUCUUUGUCUCUAUGGCAACCUCUUAAACCCAGUAGUAACCACCUGUGCUCUCCUCCUUAACAUCAUGGUUAAGAAUACCAGUUCUGAAGUUGAAUUUCCUGGGUUCAAAUCCUUUCCCUACCGAUAGGCUAAUCAUUUGCGGAGACAACCAGAAAAUCAGGUAUGUUUCCAGAGCCGUCCACACAUUCCAGUCACACAGAGGGGCUCCCUUGCCCAGGGUAACUUUUCCUUACCAUCCUGGCUGCCCCCAGGAAUACCAGAAUGUCCAUGCUGAUUGGAAAGCAGAUGGCUACUUGGUCAGAAACUGAACAGUCCCCAGCCCCUUUCCCAGCCUUUCACGCCAGGGUUAUGCCCUCCUCCCUCUCCAGCCCUGAAGAAGACGAAUACACUUUACACAGCUGUUCUCGCUACAGUUCAGUGCUUUAUUUUGUGCAUUUCCUAUCGUGUGAGUCUGCAGCACUACGUCCCAUGUCUGGAUUUGGGAUCCUUGGGGUCAGAGCCGUGUCAGUUCUUCCGCCGUGUAAGCCACCCACUGUACAGAUUUAUACUCUUUAGCAGAGAUGAUCUUCUCCUUUUAUAAGAGAAGAAAAGUGAGGUCUAAAGGAAUGUUCUCUAUGUCAGAAACACGUUUCCUUCUUUUUCUUUCACGGAAACCUCUCAAUACUUACCAUAAACUUCUUUCCCUACUCCUUCCUUCCAUUGCCAACUCUGACUUACGUUUGAAAAAAUAUUUCUGUUUUAACAUCUCCUUGAAACAAUGAAGAGGAGGCUCAUUGCUGUCUGUAAACUCCUGGUAGUGAUUUUUUCCCCCUGAGAUUGUUCUGCUAUCCUGUGAAAUCUCACUUUGUAGAUGUAAAGGACUCACCUUUUCACAUGGGAACAUCUUUGCAUCCCCGUCAAGGUCUAUGUCUAUUAUGUCUUUUUUCUUUUACCGGUAAGAUUAUGCCUUUUACAUAUGGGACAUUAAAUAAGACAAAAUAAUGAAUAAGUGGUGUCCACUGACUGGGAGCACACCCCUGGAGCACCCACCGGCUGAGAUCUGCACGUCAGCAACAAUCCUCUCGGGACGGCAGAAAGGAAAAGGCCGGGCUGCUAGCCGGGCUACAGCACACAUCAUCUCAUCCCAGAGGCAGAGUGCAGGCUCGGGGUUCUCCAGGGCUUGCAGGUUUGCAGUUGGCACCGUCAAGAUGAUAUUGUCCGUUGCCAGCUCUCCCCAGGGAGCCAGGCUCCCCUGGAUACAGUUCUUCCACUCCUCUAGAGAGGUUUUACCUGGGAAUAAAUAUCAUGAGCCUGUUAUCCAUUUCCCCAACUUACCCUGAACUCCAGGAGGAGGACAAUGAAAUAAUGAACUAGUUACAUGUCAUCUACAUGCUAUGAAGUGAAGGACAGGCCUCCAGACCUUCCCCUUGGUUCUGCCCAGGUGUCUCCAUGGACAUGGUAUGCCAUAGCUCCCACCUCCACUAUAUCUUGAACGGUUCUGCUUUCUGUCGCCAAUCCCUACCCCCAUCCCCCUUUAGCAAGCAGUCCAUAACUAAUGGUGGCAUCCUCAGCACCCCUUCUUCAGACCCUUAGCAUUCAGUCCACUCACCCAGCUUGUAGUAGGGGGCAGGCACAGCCCUCUUGACAGUGAUAGAUAUGGGGCCCAGUUGGCUGCCCUUUGGCACAAUGACAUAGAGAAGGCCACCCCAGAGGCAGGAGAUGGAUUGUACGGUCCUGUCCAUACAGCACUGGUGAGUCACCACAGGGGCUCGAGACAGCUUGCUGGCAUUGGUCAAGUUAUCGGUGUGGCAGCCAAUCUGUACCUGGGGAGGUGAUUCCACCAUGUGUAGGAGGAAUUAGGUCCCUGUGGUGUGGUGUGGUGUGUGUGUGUGUAUGGGGGGGGGGGUGCUAUGUGUGUGCUGAGUGAAUGGCAGGUCUUAGAAAAACACCAGCUUCCCCCUUCUAUGAGCUAUGCAUGGAAACUUAAGGAAUUUUUGUACUUCAAAAGUCAUAGGGACUGAAGGGGAUGUAAAACCAUUCUCCUAGGGAUUUAAACAACUCAACAGUGGGUUGUCACCAGAUAGACCAGGGAAGAUAACCCUGAGACAGAAACUGACUAGGGCCCCACAGUGCCUCUGUACCACGUGGAAUACAGGCUCUCAUGUCAGGGCGAUGCCCAUGUGGUGACUCCAAAGCCAGGAUGAGCCACAGGGGAUCGUGGCCCACCCUUUGUUUACAGACAGGAGGCCACCCAUCCAGAGGCAGCGGGAUCUGGCCUGAGCCAGGAGGAUUGAUUCUCACUUCUCCCUUUGUCAAGGGCUCUCCUUCUGGGUCAGAUGGGUUGAAAGCUGUUUUGUCUGGAGUCCUGGGGUUACUUUUCUUAAGUUUAAUGUAAGCAAAAGACCUCCUGUAACAGGAAGUGACCCUCAGAGCUGAGGCAGGACAAUUUUAAUUCUGUCUGUAGGGCCUAUAUUUGUGACUAGAUGAAGCACACCCUCUGGGUGCCUAGGUAAUGACGUAUAAUGCAGAAAGGCCGUGUGCUGUUGGUGAAGCAGGUGUGGUCCUGAGGAUGUGACGGGUGCUGGCCCCCCUCACAUCCCCGUGGGGAGGUAAAAUUACUAUACAUGGACAUCCAGGGGCUUGGGUUUGAAUACCUGAAAUUAGCUCUGGCACCAGGUCACUCCUUUAGGUUCCCUGAAAUUGAGCUGCUUCAUCUAUGAAAUCUGUGAAAUGGGCAGAGCAGUCCCUUCCUGGCCUCCCAGCAGCCCUGCUGUGAGCUGAGGACAAGGUGUGGCUUUGCGGAUUGGGGUGUCAGCAGUGGGCGUUCUGGCCUUACCUUCAGGCCAGCACAGGCUGCGGCUUCCGACAGCGAGACUUCUGCACUUUUUCCAUGUGGCAGGUAGAGGCCGGUGCUCACCCAGGAAUCACAGCUGCCUGCCAAGAGCCAGAGGACAGGCUGAGUUCUUCCCCCACCUGGUUCUGCUGCACCUGGAGCCUCGCCACCCCUCCCGGAAACGCAACCCCUCCCCUGCCUACCUCAACUCAUCCAUGCUUCCCGUUCGCACGCAUCCCUCCCAAGCGGGACCCCAACCCCAUCUUCCCCAAAGCACACGAGAGACAGUGAAGCUGCCCCACCUGAGCUUCAGCACCUGCAGUGUCCUGCGAUCCCGGGAACCCCCCCCCGCUUCCCCCAGGGUUUGAUGCUCGGGGUGCGCUCCUCGCUCUCUACCUGGGUUGCUCCCAUCAAUCUCCACGGUGAUGGGGUGUUCUGAGGGGUGCGGACUGGAGCUGCAGGUCCAGGUCCCAAGCUCCUGCACCAGCUGGGAGCAGUCGGUCCCGGCACGUGCCAGCUCGGUGGCCAAGGAGAGCACCGCCGCCUCGAAGGAGUCGCUAGCCACGGGGCGCUGGGGGCUCACGGCCGGGAGGCCCGACAGACGCAGCAUCUUCCUCAGCAGUCGGUGCAAGGAUAGGAGGAUUGUUUUUGAUGAAGAGAAUGCAUAUGAAAACCCCCUGUUGUGAGCACACGGUCCCUCGAACAUCACCUGUACUGGCACCUAGACUACACGGAUCUGGCUUUAGUCUCAGGACGGAUUCUCACCCACAGUCUUCCUCAAGCCAUCCUAUCCGCUCCUCUUUGUAAUAAAAACUCUCCAAUUUCAUCCAGUCCC